UUAAAUGGCCGCAGUAAUUUGACUGUGCAAAGGUAGCAUAAUCAUUAGUUUUUUAAUUAAAAGCUCGUAUGAAGGGUUGGACGAGGUAAAUUCUGUCUCUAUUUAAUUUAAAUUAGAAUUUAAUUUUUAAGUCAAAAAGCUUAAAUAUUAAUAAAAGACGAGAAGACCCUAUAGAUCUUUAUAAUUUUUAUAUUAUAAUGUAUUAGGAUUUAUUAAAGUUUUAAUAUUAAAAUUAUUUUAUUGGGGUAAUAGAAAGAUUAAAAAAAUUCUUUUUUUUAUAUACAUUGAUUUAUGAAUUUAUUGAUCCAUUUUUAUUGAUUAUAAGAUUAAGUUACCUUAGGGAUAACAGCGUAAUUUUUUUAGAGAGUUCAUAUCGAUAAAAAAGUUUGCGACCUCGAUGUUGGAUUAAAGAUUAAUUUAGGUGUAGAAGUUUAAAUUUUUGGUCUGUUCGACCAUUGAAUCUUUACAUGAUCUGAGUUCAGACCGGUGUAAGCCAGGUCGGUUUCUAUCUUUAUUGAAUUAGAAUAUUUUAGUACGAAAGGACCAAAUAUUUAAUAUAUUUAUAUUUAUUUUUUGAAUAUUAUUAAUUAUUUUGGCAGAUUAGUGCAAUGAAUUUAGAAUUCAUAUAUGUAAUUUUAUUACAAAUAAUACUUGUUUUUUAUAGAUUUAAUUUUUUCUAUUAUUUGUAUAAUUUUAUUAGUAAUUUGUGUAUUGGU
rnacentral:rRNA from 1 species